rnacentral:ncRNA from 1 species
CUGGCGGGAGCUUGGGUAAACCAGGCUGAGAGGGUGGCCAAAAUCGCCACCGACCGACUGUACCUGAUCUGGGUAAUACCGGCGCAGGGAUUGGA